rnacentral:rRNA from 1 species
GCCACUGAUGGGAAGCAACCCCAACGGUUGUCUUUACCAAACUUGGAUGAACCGUCAUAACGUACAGUUGCCUGUACCAGGUAGCGGUCAUUAUAAUUAUAGUUCAGUCGGCCGAAGAAAGAGGCGCGGUUAUAUUUCCAUUUUGUUCCGCUACCAUCAAAUGUGCCACCUGCUCCUGCACCUACAGUUGAGAAAGAUGGAUCAAGAAAUCCGCCCGGAAUUUCACUGGUUACCAAUUUUCCGUCUUCUACUUUAUAAACAGUGGUUUUACCUUCUACCCCAACAGAAUUCCAUGUAUAUUUGCGGGCAGUCAUGGAAGUACCUGCCAUUGCAUUGACGUUGUGUUUUCCAAAUGUCUUAUUAAAACUUAAUACAUUUUCCCAUACAUGUUCCUCCCAGUAUCCUGUGGUUUCGCUAUGAUAAGGAUAGUCACGUUUGGCUUUUGGGUCGGCAACAUAGGCCGGAGUAUGAUAAGUCUGACGUUGGUGCUCACCUCUGUAUGCAUAGCUUGUCUUGAAAUUCAGCCAUGGGGUGAAGUUCAUGGUCAAGGCAACAUUGGCUGUGGUAUGAUAUUUUUUGUCGGUAGAUUUUUCAUAAUGCUGGUCAGCCAUAACAUUACGGUUACUGGGCAGAUCGUCAAAGUCACUUAAGCCGAAGCCAUACUCUCUUGUAUCAUCAUAGAUAGGAACAAGCGGAGAAAUCAUGUACAUUUCUUUAAUGGAAUAUUCGGGUUGUUUGCUAUCCGUAAAUUUGAAAGCGAUGUUAGCAUCAAUAUCAAAUAUAUAUUUGCUCAUGUGGAGUUUCAAACGUGCAUUAUCUUGACGGUAAUUGUUACCUAAGAAAAUACCUUUUUCGUCAGCAUGGUUAUAUGAAAGUGAAUAUUGAGCAUUUUCAGAACCGCCACGGAUACUGAACAUAUAGUUUUGUGAAACACCACCUCUUAGCAUGGCAUCCUGCCAGUCUGUAUCUAUUCCUGUGUUUUUAUUUACAAAUGCGGGCAUAGUAACCUCUGUAUCAUCUGGAUACUGGUUCAUGUAGUUCUGAUACAUUUGUUUAUGAACACUUUUGUAUUCUUCGGCAUUUAGCAGUUCCAGCUUUUUGGCUACGCUUGUAAAGCUUACAUAAGUGCUGAAAUCAAUUUUCAUGUCACCCUUUUUACCGUUUUUGGUAGUUACGAUAAUGACACCAUUUGCGGCAACCGAACCAUAGAUGGCAGCGGCUGCACCAUCUUUCAGUACUUCCAUUGACUGAAUAUCUUGCGGAUUCACAUUUUCAAUAUCACCGGGAAAACCAUCAAUGAUAUAAAGAGGUUGGUUGUCACCAAACGUUUUGACACCACGGAUUUUAACCUGCACACCUGCACCGGCAUUACCACCAGCUUCAUAAUGUUUACACCUGCAAUCUUACCUUGUAAUGCUUCUGCAGGGUUGGUUGUGGUGCGCUUUACCAAAUCGUCUACAUCUACUGAGGAAAUAGCACCGGUCAUAUCACUUUUCUUCAUGGUACCAUAGCCCACUACUACAACUUCAUCCAGCAUCUCAGUAUCUUCUUUCAAAGUCACCCGGAUGUUGGUCUUUCCGUUUACAGGGACUUCUUGUGUUGCAUAGCCCACAUAAGAAAUAAUAAUAGUGGCUUUGGGGGAUACGCUAGGAACUAGGCAAAUUAACCCUGUAAACUUCGGGAAAAAGGGUCCCUACCCGUUAGCGGGAGGGCGCAGAGAAUCGGUCCAGGCAACUGUUUAACAAAAACACAGGGCUGUGCGAAGUCGAAAGACGCUGUAUACAGCCUGACACCUGCCCGGUGCUGGAAGGUUAAGAGGAGAUGUCAUCGCAAGAGAAGCAUUGAAUUGAAGCCCCAGUAAACGGCGGCCGUAACUAUAACGGUCCUAAGGUAGCGAAAUUCCUUGUCGGGUAAGUUCCGACCUGCACGAAUGGUGUAAUGAUCUGGACACUGUCUCAACCGUGAGCUCAGUGAAAUUGUAGUAUCGGUGAAGAUGCCGAUUACCCGCGAUGGGACGAAAAGACCCCGUGAACCUUUACUAUAGCUUAACAUUGAAUUUGGGUAAUUGAUGUGUAGGAUAGGCCGGAGGCUUUGAAGCGGGCACGCCAGUGUCCGUGGAGCCGCUGUUGAAAUACGGCCCUUUGAUUAUUUGAGUUCUAACCCGUUGUUGCGGGGACACUGUUUGGUGGGUAGUUUGACUGGGGUGGUCGCCUCCAAAAGUGUAACGGAGGCUUCUAAAGGUGCCCUCACGACGAUUGGUAACCGUCGGCAGAGUGUAAUGGCAUAAGGGCGCUUGACUGGGAGACUUACAAGUCGAUCAGGUAGGAAACUAGAGCAUAGUGAUCCGGUGUUUCUGUAUGGAAAGGACAUCGCUCAAAGGAUAAAAGGUACUCCGGGGAUAACAGGCUGAUCCCUCCCAAGAGCUCAUAUCGACGGAGGGGUUUGGCACCUCGAUGUCGGCUCGUCACAUCCUGGGGCUGGAGAAGGUCCCAAGGGUUGGGCUGUUCGCCCAUUAAAGUGGCACGCGAGCUGGGUUCAGAACGUCGUGAGACAGUUCGGUCUCUAUCUAUCGUGGGCGUAUGAAAUUUGCGUGGCUCUGACACUAGUACGAGAGGACCGUGUUGGACUGACCUCUGGUUUACCAGUUGUGCCGCCAGGUGCAUUGCUGGGUAUCUAAGUCGGGAUUGGAUAAGUGCUGAAAGCAUCUAAGUACGAAGCCAGCCACAAGAUUAGAUUUCUUAGGGUCGUUGAAGACUACAACGUUGAUAGGAUGCAGGUGUACAGGUGGUAACAUCAUAGCCGAGCAUUACUAAUUGCCCGUUCACUUUUGGUC